AGCAGACUCCCUGCUGAGCAAGGAGCCCGGAUGUGUGCCUCCAUCCCAGGACCCUGGGAUCACAACCUGAGCGGAAGGCAGAUGCUUCACCGACUGAGCCACCCAGGCACCUCCUGGAAUGUUGCAAUUUUAGAGCCCAUGAUCAAGUGGCAGCUUCCCUGACUUAACUACAAAACUCCACGAGCAAGGACUGAGUCUCUUUUGUUGACUGUUGAGUCCCCUGAGCUGAGCACAGUGCUAGGAUGGGAACCGGAGACCUGGAGAAUCAAGUGCAAUCACUCUUCAGGUCAAGUAUACCUCCGGCCUGGAUUAUUGCAAAGGCUUCCCUGCCAGUCGAUGGCUCUAACCCCUCUGGCAGCUCGUCUCGAAUCCUCC